rnacentral:piRNA from 1 species
UGACACAGACACAGAACCACUGAUGCCCA